rnacentral:misc_RNA from 1 species
CCACCUACUUACGUGCUGGUAGCGUUUUCCUCAUUCUUUUUAGAGAUAAAAAUAUGUUCUUGCAAAAAUCCAUUUUGGAAUGGGUGGGUAGGGUGUUAUAUCUUCGAAUGAAGCGACUCACAUAAAUUAUGAUAGAACUUCACUUACAGAUUACCCAGUGAAGGCAAUCUCCGUACUGCUUGGCUCAGAGCCCUCGGCACACAAGACCAUCACCUGCCCGACCCUGCUGUGGUCUGCUCCCAGCACUUCCUAGAUGAUGACUUUUAUACAACAGAGAGUUGUGUGCGGCAGAUUCACUCUAAUGCAGUUCCUUCGAUAGUGCAGAUGUGCAUGAUAUGCCUGGACUCUGACAGCAAGCUGUCUCUAAUGAGUAAACACAAGUUGGAGGAGGCAUAUGAACAGCUGACUGGACUGUCUUUGUUUCAGUUGUGUCGUCGAGGAAACCUAAAGCAAACGCUCUGUGUGAUGUGUGCUCAGAGAUUGAUCAACUUCAGCAGAUUUAGAGACUUGAGCUUGAGAGCCCAUUCACUGCUGACAGACUCAGUUGAACAACGUGCAUCAGUGAGUACUUCAUCAUAAUCAGUG